CUUUCUUCUGCGCCAUCUUGUGGCAGUUGAGAGCAGGCCCAGGGCAGAAGGGAGGCAGGGGCAUUAAGAGCUCAGGCCUCCAGCUGAGGGACUGCAGAUGUUGGGAAGCCUCUGAUUAGGGCCCGGAACCAACUUCCUUUUCGCAUCUGCAGACUCAUGGAGGCAACCACUCAAGGCCACUCUGAGAAGGGUUGAACGUGCUUUAAAUUAAAAGGACUGAGGAUCAUGUGUGUUGGUGUGUCCUGGACUCUGCUCUAAGGCCCUGUGGCUGCCUGGUGCCCUGGGAAUGGUCCGGUCAUGGGCCUCAGCCCAGGAUGAGCAGCCAACAAUGCAAUCCCACGAAGAGUGUGCGGAAGGGAGAGGUUACUUCUCAAGAUGGAGCUGCCAAAUAGGGACACUUUGGAGAGUCUGGCCUGAGAACUUUUAGUUUCAAGAAUGUAUUGCUUUGGAAAAGACAGAAUAAAAGUCCAAGCACUGCCACUUA
rnacentral:lncRNA from 1 species